UACGGGAGGCAGCAGUGGGGAAUAUUGCACAAUGGGCGGAAGCCUGAUGCAGCGACGCCGCGUGAGGGAUGACGGCCUUCGGGUUGUAAACCUCUUUCAGCACGGAAGAAGCGAAAGUGACGGUACGUGCAGAAGAAGCGCCGGCUAACUACGUGCCAGCAGCCGCGGUAAUACGUAGGGCGCAAGCGUUGUCCGGAAUUAUUGGGCGUAAAGAGCUCGUAGGCGGUUUGUCGCGUCUGCUGUGAAAGCCCGGGGCUUAACCCCGGGUGUGCAGUGGGUACGGGCAGACUUGAGUGCAGUAGGGGAGACUGGAAUUCCUGGUGUAGCGGUGAAAUGCGCAGAUAUCAGGAGGAACACCGAUGGCGAAGGCAGGUCUCUGGGCUGUUACUGACGCUGAGGAGCGAAAGCAUGGGGAGCGAACAGGGAUUAGAUACCCGU
rnacentral:rRNA from 1 species